rnacentral:lncRNA from 1 species
GGGUUAUGAAUUCGUGAAUCCCUUCCCAAGAGGUCCCAAAUACGAAUUCUAACCUCCCUCCUCUCUCCUUAUACCUUCUCCACUUGCUUAUGGUGUUUGUAAGCCAUUAGAGGAGUGACACUUGUGACUCUUUGCUUUCCAAGGUCAAUUCAAGGAGGAAUUGGAUUGUUAUUGCUACAUAACAAUCAAGGUAUGUUCUUAAACCUAUUUACAUGUGAAUUCUGAUUUCCAUAUGCUAGAAUUAGGGUUCAAAGUCUUGGAUUCAAAGUAUGUACAAUAGAGAAACCUAGAUCCGAGCUUUAGGGUUUGUAUGAGCACAUAGGAUGUCUUAUGACCAAAACCCAUCAGUGGUAUCAGAGCCAUGAUUGGUUUCUAUUGUAUUGAUGCUUGAUGUAACUGAAAAUCGUGUUUUGGCCUCACUGUUCGACCUGACUCGGCGAGUCACUCUUGGACUCGGCGAGUCAGCCCUACUCGGCGAGUUCCAGAGGGUGACUCGGCGAGUCGGUGCGUCAGACAGUGCUUAUCUCGGGAUUUCUUGCUGUUUUUGCAUUGGGAUAAUUACCUUAUCAUGUUAGAUUAAUAUUAAUCCGAUUAUAUGAUAUAUUUGACUAUAAUUUUAAUCUAAUUGAAGAUAUUUAUCAAUUAAUAGGAUAAUUGUUUCCUUAUAAGAUAAUUGAUUAAUUAUUUUAAGUAAAUUGAUAAAUUAUUUUGCAAGAAAUCAUCAAAUAUGGAUAAUUAUGUGAUUAAAUGUUAAUUUGAAUUAUUUGUUAUUUGAUCCUUGUUGUUGUGAAAAGUUUCAUAUUUGGCCCUUUAGGUUUUAUAGUUUAAAUUUGAACCCCAAAAGUUUUGUUGUUUUGAAAUUUAAAUAGUUGAAACCCUAAUGUUUUGAAAAAGGUUUCAAAACUUGCCCUCAAGUUUUGGAAUUUAAAUUUUGAUUAAAUAGUUUAAUUUUGAUGCAUAUUUAAAUUCUAAACCCUAAUGUGUUGAAAUGUUUCAAAACUUGCCCUCAAGUUUUGGAAUUUAAAAGUUGAUUAAAAGUUUAAUUAGGAAUGUUAAAUUCUAAAACUCUAGUAUAGUUUUGAAAAAGUUCAAAUCACACCCUUAUGGUUUUAUUAAUUAAUUAAGGUGUAUAAUUAAAAGAGGUUUAAUAAAUCCAUAAAAGUUUAGGUUUACAAUUUAAUUGAAUUAAAAGUAUAAUUGUUAAAUUAGACCACCUAGUAUUUUAAAAGUAUAAAAUACACCCUAUACUAUAUAUAACAUUAAAAGUCUAACAUUAUAUAUAUGUAUGAGUAAAAGUCAGUCUUACCGUUAGUAGGCCUCAUUCACGAAGCUGGUCUAUAAGGGGUGUUUAAGGAAAUUGCCUAUAAAAUGGCGAUUGAAUGGGUAUCCACUCUUACCCACCGCACUCUUGACUAGUGGAGGGUCGUUAGCCGAACGGGUAGGAUAGGACGAAACCUUCCAUUAUAAGUAUAAUGAAUUAUUAAAGUAACUAAAUGUUUUCAUAAAAUUCCCAAUCUUAGUUACUUAGGCAAAAGUGAAUUGAUGCAAUUCCAUGAAAUUACACUUUGUGCCCUUGCGAAGACGUUAGUGGAGCGUGUGUGGUUUACCGGCACACUAAAUGGUUCUAAGCAAAGGUAGCAAAGGGUGACUCAAUGUUUGUCAUAGUUCGGUGGAGCGUGUGUGGUUUACCGGCACAUCGAAUAGGUGACUGUAACAUGUGAGGGCACCAUGUAAGUUUGCAUGGUUAUUCACACCCGCUUUGUGAUCCUCGGCAUCCCAGUCACAAACAAGAGGGGCAUAUCGAGAUUUAAACAUGCCAUUGAAAGUUCAAUGAAUCUCAAAGGAUCUAGGAGUUUUCAUAGAUUUAAAACUUAAAUUUCUUUUUCGUUUUUCAUGGUGGAAAUUAGUGAAUCGUCAUUCACUUACCUUCAAAUAUUCUGCAAUUAGGGUUACGGCAUCCCUCUCCCGAGUUGUAGAAUAUUGUGUUGGGUCCUAGCCUUAGUAUCUCAUUUGGGUGAUUUACUAAGGACUCAAUCAAUCAACUAACUUGAAUUCGUUUUCUCCCGUUUUGUAGAUGUCAAAGUUCGACAACUAUGGUCUUCCCAAAUCCCGUGGAACAAGCAUUCCACAUGAAGAUGAUAUUCCACGAUUCGAUCGAGGAACAAGAAAUCAUGCUUCACUUCCUCCUCCUCCUCCAAUUAUUCUCCCUAACCCACAAGUUCAAAGGCUUGAAAAGUUCAAGAUCACUCAAGCCCUUUUGGCAAGUAAACAUAAAGAAGGAAAGUCGGUGUGUGCACACGUCCUAGGGAUGAAGUCACACAUUGAUAGGUUAAGAAUGUUGGGAUCCGUUGUCUGUGAGGAAAUGGCUGUUGAUUGGGUUCUUCAGUCACUUCCUAACUCAUAUAGUGAGUUCGUAAGAGAGUACUAUAUGAUGAACCGCGACGUGACCCUUAUAGAUCUCACCUAUAUGCUUAUUGCUGCUGAAUCAGCAAUGGUUUGGCGCAAUAGAAAAGCAAAGUUGAUUGGUGAAUCUGCCUUCAAGACCUCUAUGGAUAUAGACAAUGGCAACGAAAGACAUGCUAUGAUCGAAAAGUUUGAUCAUAAGAGAAAGGCAAUGUCUGAAGUAGUUCCAUGUCAUGUUCCAAAAGAGUCAAUUUGCUUUUAUUGCCAAGAGAAAGGGCAUUGGAGACGAAGCUGCCCCAUUUACCUAAGAGAUCUAAGAGAUGGGAGAGUCGAAACGUAUGGCUCUAAUAUAGGUAAAAUCCAUUAACUAACUCUUUUAAGCUUCUAUUCUAGAUUCUUAAUACAUAAUGUGAUAAGAUUACAAUUGAUGUUUUGUAGGAUCGAAGAAAAGAAAGGAAGCUUAAGGGAAGAAGUGAGCAGAAUCUAACCGUGAAGGAAUGGAUUUCGAUCGCAUUUCUCGAAGAUUAGAUUCUUGAGCUACUACUUAGAGUUAGAAUUAGAUUGCUAAGAAAGAUGUAUUAGCAUAGUUUUUCAAUGAAUUGCAUUGUAAGGACAAAUUUUUUCCGCAAUAAAAUAAAUUUUGAUUUUAUAUUAUUUAUUUAUCCUUGCAAUGGCGUAUAUGAAAAAUUGAUGUUUGAAUGUUUCUAUUAUUAGCAAUAAUGGAUUUGGUUCUUAUUAUGUUAUUUAUGGAAAGUCGAGAAUUUACCAAAUAGGGAGAGUUUCUCAUCGCCCAAGUUUCAAUUGGACAGAAACUUGGAAUCAUGCAACUUGGUUGCACGAUGAAUGAGAAAUUUCAUAUUUGGAAAUUAGACUAAUUCAUUGACAAAGUGUCAAGUGAAGGACUAGGAGAUCGAGUACACAAAGUUGCGUGUUGAUCAAGUCCACCAUAAGAGUAACAAAGAUAUUCGUCAUGAUUUACUAAAGGUUUAGUAAAUAUGAUUAUACUUAUAAGAUUAAGUGUAAUUCUGAAUUGAUUGAAAAAGUUUAAAUCAAUAGCAGAACGAAUAAGAAGAAUCAAGUAGGCAGAAAGAUAAAAGUUUCUCCAUUCUAAGAAGAAGGGAGAGUACCUUUUAUGCUUUAUGAUAGGUCUUAAUGAUUAAGAACCAUAUCUCAAUUGAUCCUCUAAGUGAGUCUUAGUACAAUUGUAUGUCUAAGAAGAGGAAUCAAGAAUUGAAGAAAUGGUUAAAUCAAGAAGUCAAUCAUACUUCGUUCCAAAACAAGUCUUAGAGUUAAGAUUGUGACAUUGAGUGAAAAGUAUUAAGAAGGUUUAUAACAUUCAUCAAAUGUGGAAAGUUGUGAUGUCUUGGAUAAGACAAAGACCAACUAGGACCAAUUUAUGAAGUGUUUUGAUAAAAGCUACACUAACUCUUGAAUAUUUGUUUGUCAAGAAAUGUUUAUUGACAAGAGAAUCUUAUAUGUCAAGGAGUCAGUGGGAGUCUUAAUGGUCUUGAAAGGUUUCAAGAACAAAUCAAAUAAACCUUAUCGAUCAUCACUAGCACACGAGUUGAGGUUUACAACCUAUCGUGUUGACAUUAUUUUGUUUCUGUGCCAAUCCAAUCGAGUUAAUUAUGCAUGUGAGUUCUAUGAGUUCUCAUUUUGAACGCAUAAAAGGCAAAGCACCUUAAUCAAUGAAAGGUACAUUGAUAGGAAAGGGUGAGCUGCUUAACUACUUGGAAGACAUGGUGGGCAGCUGUGCUACCAUAAGGCAAGAAAUCAAGAUUAAGAAAGUUCGGUCCAUAUGAGUUUGAAUUUGUCGUAAACUUUGGUUUUAACAAAUUCACAUGGAUAGGAACACAUACACCGUUUAAAUCUAAGUGUCAUAAGAUUUCCUCCUUCAUGAAAAUGAUUGUGAGGAAAUGCUUUCACUAAGAAAGAUUUUAAGAAGAUAGUGAUUGUAAAAUUGCAUUCUCGAAUUCGAUUAUGGUUACGGUAUCCCUUUCCAUAAUUUGAAUUGUGAGGUUUGGCAAUUAGUCUUAAUUGUUUAGACACACAUAUGAACUAUCGAAGGCAAAGGUGUAUAAGUUCAAGAAGCCUUGAUAAAAGAUUAUCAAAGCACUAAGUAUUAGAAACAUGAACUUAAGAAAUUCAAUAAGUAUUGUUUUUCUGAAAGUUAAGAUGUUUAUGAAUACAUGUCGAAGCUAGUGGGAGCAUAAGUGUUAUGUUUUAUAAUAAUCAUCAUGAUAGUGGGAGCAUAAAUGUUAUGAUUGUAUGAUUAUUAAGGAAAGUAUUGCAAGUUGGCAAUAUUAAUUAUAGAAAACAAGAGUCAUACUUUGCAAAGUUGUAAGGGUUGAAAGGUUGUUUUGCUAUAAUUAAGGGAGAGAAUAUUAUGCUUCAUUUCAAAUCUAAAGGAUUAGGUUGAGAAAUGUUAAUAAAUUUAGUCAAAGGUACAUAGUGUGUUCUUAAAAUUUCGAUUAUGAUUACGGCAUUCCUCUUCACAAUUCGAAUUUUGAGAACAUAGCAAAUAAAACAUUAUGCGUCGUGUCCCAUACGCUUCGGGUAUAGGAUCGAUUGCAAAUGCUUUAAUGUUUGACCAUUCUAAAAUUUUCCAAAUGUCGAGCGCAUUUAGAGGGAAAAGGGACUAGAAUUGGUUUUGACUAAAAUAAUUAAACAACUAUCAAAGGACAAUCCAAAGUUCGACGAGGAUUGGUCGCUUGUGAGUAGUUGGAAGUAUAGUAUUGGAAAAUAUGGAAAUGUUUCCAUAUUGGAUGGACCAUAUCGACAUCAUUACGAAUAGAUAAGAUUCUAUUAAGAAUGAGUUGUCAUAUGGAACAUAUGGAAGUGUGUCCAUAUUGGGAAUUGAAUAUUGAGAAAUCUAUGACUAGAUUAGAAACUUCUAUGCAAAAGGAUGUUCAAAGAAUGUACUUUGAGUGAGAGACAUCACGUCUAUGGAAUUGUCUUGUAACAAUCUCCGAUAGAGGACUUUGUAAUAUCAUUGGCAAUAGUCUUUGUGACUUUGGUGCAGUGACAUUACGAAAGGAUAGUUGCAUAGAAUGUUAGAAUCUAGCAUAUUCUAUAAGUAGCAAGAAUUUGAUAUUCUUUGACUUAUGAAAAACGGAUUUGGAGUUGUGAAAUGAGAAGGAUUGGAAAUGUGUUCAAUGUGAUCUAUUUCACAAAGUAAGAACCAUAGGUAAACAUUGUGUGCAUGCUAGGAGCAUGGGACAAGUGUUGGAAUUCAAGUAAGAAGUUGAUUACCCGAAACGACAAAUAAUGAGUAAUCAAUAUGGUGAUAAAUAAAAGGUGUUUUAUUUAUACUCAAAGGUUUGAGGCCAUAUGGGAUUAGUAUUAUUCUUGUGUUUCACAUUUGCAUGUUUUGACUUCCAGAAUAAUUGAGUUUAUUAAGAAUAAUCGAAUUAUUCAAACGGGCCACAGUCGUUCAUAUGUUGGAAGUAGAUAUGAAUGAAGACUGUCGUGAAUUGGUGUGUGGAUUGUCUAAAAGAGUAUUAGACAUAAGCAAAUGUUUGCUGCAACGUUCAUGAGUGCUUAUGAAUAUGAUUUGAGCAUUGGAUUAAACCCACGCUCACUUGGAUCACUCCAUGAAUUGUAUCACGAGUGAUUGGUGAGACGAUAACAUCUUAUAUUCUUGAAACCGAGAUGUGUGAGUUGUAUCUUGCAAAUCGGUUGCACAUUGAUAAUAUGUAAACGCACUAGUAACUUGGUGUUAUAAAACAUAUUGUUGUGUGUGAUUCGGUGAGUGAGUGCAAGCAAGCAUUGUAUCAAAGUUUAUCCGUUCCUUUUAUCCAAAGUAGGAUAAAAGCGAUAUCUUUGGGCCCCUCGAUGGUUUAGUGAUGACAAACGUAAAUGCUCGGCCGGGCUAGGGCUAAUUUGAUUUGUUCAAUUAGUCAGUCGUCAUAAAUCGGAAAUCGAGAUAUAGUACAAAGAGAAUGAUUUGAAAUCAUAUCUCAUAUGAUAUCUAGAAUGGAGGAAUAUAUGAUCCCUUAUCUAAGGACACGCGUAUCUGAUAUGAUCAGAGUUGACAGCGGCUUUGGAAAGCUACGAUUGCAGAUCGGGAUCCGAAGUCAUACGCAGAAUAGUUGUUAGACUUAUCCAAGUGGGAGACUGUUGGAUUAGUGUCUAAGUCCAUAACUAUUUUGGUAUGUACUUGACCUGAUGGUGCAUGGUCCUUUUGGGUUGCCUUCACCAAAGCAACUUGAUUGGAGAAAUAAAUAGAAAGAGAGGAUAAUAUGAUUUAUUAAUAUGUUAUAAGGAUAAUAUAUUAAAGGAGAAAUCAUAUUUGUUUAAUUAAUAUUGGUCAAUAAUUAAUUGAGAAUUAAUUUUGUGAUCAAGUGUAAUUAAUUAAACUAGAGGGGCUGAUUUGUAAUUAUGUGAUAGUUACAAAAUAAGGUAAGGAUUAUCUUAUAAGUAUGGUGGACGAAUUUAAGGUUGGAAAGCCUUAGAAUUCGAGUAUGAUAAGGAUUCAAGGAUUAUCUUAUUGGUUGCUUAAUGGAUAAUCAACUAGAUAAGGAUAAUGACUGAAACCCUAUCUUUACACCUAUAUAAACACCCCUAGGGUUAUGAAUUCGUGAAUCCCUUCCCAAGAGGUCCCAAAUACGAAUUCUAACCUCCCUCCUCUCUCUAUAUACCUUCUCCACUUGCUUAUGGUGUUUGUAAGCCAUUAGAGGAGUGACACUUGUGACUCUUUGCUUUCCAAGGUCAAUUCAAGGAGGAAUUGGAUUGUUAUUGCUACAUAACAAUCAAGGUAUGUUCUUAAACCUAUUUACAUGUGAAUUCCAUAUGCUAGUAUUAGGGUUCUAAGUCUUGGAUUCAAAGUAUGUACAAUAGAGAAACCUAGAUCCGAGCUUUAGGGUUUGUAUGAGCACAUAGGAUGUAUUAUGCAC